UCAUUAGUUUUUUAAUUGAAAGCUUGUAUGAAUGGUUUGAUGAGAAAAUUACUGUUUCAAUUUUAUUAAUAGAAUUUUAUUUUUAAGUUAAAAAGCUUAAAUAAUAUUUAAAGACGAGAAGACCCUAUAGAGUUUGACUAAAUAUAAAAUUAAUAAUUUUAGAAUUUUAAAUUUUUAAUUUAAUUUAAGUUUUGUUGGGGUGACAAAAAAAUUAAAUUAACUUUUUUUUUAUAUAAACAAUUAUAAUUGAAUAAUUGAUCCAUAAAAAUGAUUAUAAGAUUAAAUUACCUUAGGGAUAACAGCGUAAUCUUUUUAAUAGUUCUUAUUGAAAAAAAGGUUUGCGACCUCGAUGUUGGAUUAAAAUUUAUUUUUGGUGUAGAAGCUAAAA
rnacentral:rRNA from 1 species